UGCAAGUCGAACGAGAACGGGACUUCGGUCCUUAUUAGAGUGGCGCACGGGUGAGUAACGCGUAGAUAAUCUACCCUUCAGACUGGGAUAACCCUGAGAAAUUAGGGCUAAUACCGGAUAAGACUAGGAUUCUGGUGAAUCUUAGUUAAAAGUUCCGGCGCUGAGGGAUGAGUCUGCGUCCCAUUAGCUAGUAGGUAGGGUAAGAGCCUACCUAGGCGACGAUGGGUAGCGGGUCUGAGAGGAUGAUCCGCCACACUGGAACUGAGACACGGUCCAGACUCCUACGGGAGGCAGCAGUGGGGAAUAUUGCACAAUGGGCGCAAGCCUGAUGCAGCGAUGCCGCGUGAGUGAAGAAGGCCUUAGGGUCGUAAAGCUCUUUAUCUCUGGGAAGAUAAUGACGGUACCAGAGGAAUAAGCACCGGCUAACUACGUGCCAGCAGCCGCGGUAAUACGUAGGGUGCAAGCGUUGUUCGGAAUCACUGGGCGUAAAGGGCGUGUAGGCGGAGGAGUAAGCUAGAGGUGAAAGCCCGGGGCUCAACCCCGGAGGGUCUUCUAGAACUGCCUCUCUUGAGAGGGUCAGAGGUUAGCGGAAUUCCUGGUGUAGCGGUGAAAUGCGUAGAUAUCAGGAGGAACACCGGAGGCGAAAGCGGCUAACUGGGGCCAAUCUGACGCUGAGGCGCGAAAGCAUGGGGAGCAAACGGGAUUAGAUACCCCGGUAGUCCGUGCCGUAAACGAUGGAUACUAGAUGUCUAGGGAAUC
rnacentral:rRNA from 1 species